GACGAACGCUGGCGGCGUGCUUAACACAUGCAAGUCGAACGGAAAGGCCCUGCUUUUGUGGGGUGCUCGAGUGGCGAACGGGUGAGUAACACGUGAGUAACCUGCCCUUGACUUUGGGAUAACUUCAGGAAACUGGGGCUAAUACCGGAUAGGAGCUCCUGCUGCAUGGUGGGGGUUGGAAAGUUUCGGCGGUUGGGGAUGGACUCGCGGCUUAUCAGCUUGUUGGUGGGGUAGUGGCUUACCAAGGCUUUGACGGGUAGCCGGCCUGAGAGGGUGACCGGCCACAUUAGGACUGAGCUACGGCCCAGACUCCUACGGGAGGCAACAGUGGGGAAUAUUGCACAAUAGGCGGAGGCCUGAUGCAGCAACGCCGCGUGCGGGAUGACGGCCUUCGGGUUGUAAACCACUUUCGCCUGAGACGAAGCGUGAGUGACGGUAAUGGGUAAAGAAGCACCGGCUAACUACGUG
rnacentral:rRNA from 1 species